AAUUAUAUUGAGAGUGUAACUUGAGCUCUUGCUCACUCGCAUGACAUGAAUACUAAAAGAAGGGAAACAUUUCAUAAAACAUCUCGUAGCCUCAUCCAUAAGUGUGGCACACUACACACCCAUGUACAAGACUCUACUAGAAGUAACUUUCAGACUUCAUAGGACUCUAUUGAACCUUAGGCUCUGAUACCAAGUUUGUAACAACCCG
rnacentral:lncRNA from 1 species